UUCUCUUUGUUGAAAGUUUACAAUUUAGCGCUCUAUUCUAGUUAAAUUUUACACUAGCAUGAGCGUUUGUUGUAGAUUUUUGGCAAAAAUUU